GUGUCAGCAGCCGCGGUAAUACGGAGGGUGCAAGCGUUAUCCGGAUUCACUGGGUUUAAAGGGUGCGUAGGCGGGCAUUUAAGUCAGUGGUGAAAUACCUGAGCUUAACUUGGGAACUGCCAUUGAUACUAUUUGUCUUGAAUGUCGUGGAGGUUAGCGGAAUAUGUCAUGUAGCGGUGAAAUGCUUAGAUAUGACAUAGAACACCUAUUGCGAAGGCAGCUAACUACGCGAAUAUUGACGCUGAGGCACGAAAGCGUGGGGAUCAAACAGGAUUAGAAACCCCCGUAGUCC
rnacentral:rRNA from 1 species